AUUAAUAAAAUUGUUUAUAUGGUUGAUUGAAAGCUGUUAGGAUUUCAUUAGAUGUUUGUGAAUAAUCUUUUGUUUCUUUCAAAUCACCUUUGACAAUAAUACGUUCUGUAGCAGCAAGGUCUUCACAGGUUACUAAUGUGAUUUCAUUGACCCCAUCUCUAUCAUCAACUUCAUCAACACGAUCCGGUGUCACACGUUUGACUUCACGUAUUUCAUAAGUAUAAACUUUAUUUUUAUCGGUUAGAUAAAUCUUCAUGCCAUUUUUAGCAUUAUCUAAAGGAGAAAAUAACAUUUUAUUAGCAUUAUCAACACCAAAGAUAUGGUGACUAGCUAGACUAUAAUUUCCUUCUCCCAUUACUUGCUCGCGUUUCAUUGUACCAGCUCCGUAGAAGAGAUUAACAUUAUCAAGUCCUUUAAAAAUCGGCAAAUUCAUUUCCAAUUCAGGAAUUGCAAUUCCCCCAAUAACUGGUAAUUUUUGAGCAUCCCAUUGAGAAGUUAGAACAGCUUCCGAAGAGAUAGCUUUGACAGAAUCAAAGUCAAAAUUGCCUUCUGUAUCCUGAUUUUCUUCUAAUUUUUCUUUUGAUACCUGGCUAACUUGAUACUUAUUGGUAUUCCAGACUAUGAAAAUAUUUCGAAUUUGAGUAUUAAAAAUCAAAGCCAGUGACAGUAAUAUCAGAAAUCCUGCUAGGAUAUUUGUCAGCAGAUUUUUUCGCUUGUUUUUCUUUUUAUUAUUUUUUUGAGACAUUAUGCUUCACCUUCUGUUUCGUUUUCUGUCCCAACUUCUUCUUUUUCUGCCACCGCAACCGUUGUGAAAGUCACUAUCUGAGCAUCUUGAUCCAGGCGCAUUACUUUAACUCCCAUAGUUGCACGUCCUGUUUGUGAAAUAUUGGCAAGAUUGGUUCGAAUCAUGACACCUGUAUCAGUGAUAAUCAUCAAAUCCUCAUCCCCUUGAACAGUCAUAAGACCGGCCAGCAAGCCAUUUUUUUCGGUAAUUUUAGCUGUCUGCAUUCCCUUACCACCACGACCUUUUGUUGGGUAUUCAGUAGCGACUGUACGCUUACCAUAUCCUUUUUCUGUGAUAAUAAGAACCUCAUCUUGAUCAGUAAUCAAGCUGGCACCAACAACUGUGUCUCCUUCACGAAGGUUAACACCUUUCACACCAGUGGCGAUACGACUCAUACCACGAACGGCUGAUUGAUUAAAGCGAACUGCAUAACCAAACUUGGUACCAAUGAUAAUAUCCAUAUCUCCUUCUGCCAACAAGACAUUGAUUAACUCAUCUUCAUCCUUUAAAUUCAGCGCUUUGAGACCAUUUUGACGAAUAUUGGCAAACUCCUUAACACUGGUUCUCUUCACAAUACCGUGACGGGUUGUAAAGAAGAGAUAAGCAUCAUCACUGCGAUCAGACUCAACAUUGAUAACCGUCUGAAUACUUUCGUCUUCAUCCAAUUUCAAGAGAUUGACUACUGGUAGCCCUUUGGCAGUCCGACCAUACUCAGGAAUUUCAUAACCUUUAAGACGAUAGACACGUCCCUUGUUUGUGAAGAAGAGCAGAUGAUCAUGGGUACUAGUUGACACUAACUCACGAACAAAGUCAUCAUCUUUCACUCCCGUUCCUUGGACACCACGACCCCCACGUUUUUGAGCAGUGAACUCGUCCUGAUCCAAACGCUUAAUGUAGCCUCUGUUAGAAAGGGUAAUCAAGACAUCCGAUUCUUCAAUCAAGUCCUCAUCCUCGAGACUCAAGACCUGUCCAACCAUCAACUCUGUACGGCGUUUAUCAGAAAAUUUACGUUUAACUUCAUCCAAUUCGUCUUUGAUAAUUUGAGAAACACGUUCAGGCUUAGCAAGAAUAUCUGCUAAAUCCGCAAUCAGAGCCAAGAGGUCAUCAUACUCAGAUUGAAUCUUAUCGCGUUCCAAACCUGUCAAACGACGAAGACGCAUAUCAAGGAUAGCUUGACUUUGACGUUCAGAAAGCUUAAACUUGCUCAUCAACUCAGCUUGAGCUUCCGCAUCCGUUUCACUAGCACGGAUGAUACGAAUCACUUCGUCGAUAUGGUCUAGCGCAAUCAAGAGACCUUCUAAGAUAUGAGCGCGCGCUUCCGCUUUUUCCUUAUCAAAACGUGUACGACGAACAACCACUUCUUUUUGGUGCUCGAUAUAAGCAUCCAAAAUCUGACGAAGAGACAAAAUUUUCGGUAUACCAUUUUGGAUAGCGAGCAUAUUGAAACCAAAAUUGGUUUGCAUUUGGGUCAUUUUGAAGAGGUUAUUGAGAAUAACAUUGGCUGAGGCGUCGCGCUUGACUUCAAUAACAAAUCGAACACCUUCACGGUUUGACUCAUCACGUACUGCCGUGAUACCCUCAAUGCGUUUUUCCUGAACCAAGCGAACAAUAUGCUCAUGCACCUUGGUUUUAUUGACCAUAUAAGGAAAUUCUGUUACAACGAUACGCUCACGACCAGUCUUAGUCGUUUCAAUCUCUGUACGAGAACGUAGGACAAUCGAACCUUUACCUGUUUCAUAAGCCUUAUGGAUACCUGAUUUCCCCAUGACAAGAGCACCAGUUGGAAAAUCUGGUCCAGGCAAGACUUCCAUCAAGUCCUUGGUAGUCACUUCAGGAUUAUCCAUGACCAACUUCACUGCAUCAAUGGUUUCACCCAGAUUAUGAGGUGGAAUAUUGGUUGCCAUCCCAACCGCGAUACCAGUUGCUCCAUUAACCAAAAGGUUUGGAAAACGCGCUGGCAAGACCAAGGGUUCNCUUCGGGGUUGUAGGACUGCAAUGUGGACUCAAAGAUUAUAGAAGAAUGAUUUGGGAAGAUCAGCCAAAGAGAGUAAUAGCCUCGUAUUUAAAAUAGUCUUUGUACUUAGCAGUAUCCUGAGUACGGCGGGACACGUGAAAUCCCGUCGGAAUCUGGGAGGACCAUCUCCCAACCCUAAAUACUCCCUAGUGACCGAUAGUGAACCAGUACCGUGAGGGAAAGGUGAAAAGCACCCCGGGAGGGGAGUGAAAUAGAACCUGAAACCGUGUGCCUACAACAAGUUCGAGCCCGUUAAUGGGUGAGAGCGUGCCUUUUGUAGAAUGAACCGGCGAGUUACGUUAUGAUGCGAGGUUAAGUUGAAGAGACGGAGCCGUAGGGAAACCGAGUCUGAAUAGGGCGCCUUAGUAUCAUGACGUAGACCCGAAACCAUGUGACCUACCCAUGAGCAGGUUGAAGGUGCGGUAAGACGCACUGGAGGACCGAACCAGGGCACGUUGAAAAGUGCUUGGAUGACUUGUGGGUAGCGGAGAAAUUCCAAACGAACUUGGAGAUAGCUGGUUCUCUCCGAAAUAGCUUUAGGGCUAGCGUCGACAUUAGAGAUUCUUGGAGGUAGAGCACUGUUUGGGUGAGGGGUCCAUCCCGGAUUACCAAUCUCAGAUAAACUCCGAAUGCCAAUGAAUUAUGGUCGGCAGUCAGACUGCGAGUGCUAAGAUCCGUAGUCGAAAGGGAAACAGCCCAGACCACCAGCUAAGGUCCCAAAAUAAUUGUUAAGUGGAAAAGGAUGUGGGGUUGCACAGACAACUAGGAUGUUAGCUUAGAAGCAGCUAUUCAUUCAAAGAGUGCGUAAUAGCUCACUAGUCGAGUGACCCUGCGCCGAAAAUGUACCGGGGCUAAAACAAUUUACCGAAGCUGUGGAUACCUUUAUAGGUAUGGUAGGAGAGCGUUCUAUGUGUGAUGAAGGUAUACCGUGAGGAGUGCUGGAACGCAUAGAAGUGAGAAUGCCGGUAUGAGUAGCGAAAGACAGGUGAGAAUCCUGUCCACCGUAAGACUAAGGUUUCCAGGGGAAGGCUCGUCCGCCCUGGGUUAGUCGGGACCUAAGGAGAGACCGAAAGGUGUAUCCGAUGGACAACAGGUUGAUAUUCCUGUACUAGAGUAUGUAGUGAUGGAGGGACGCAGUAGGCUAACUAAAGCAGACGAUUGGAAGAGUCUGUCUAAGCAGUGAGGUGUGAAUUGAGUCAAAUGCUUAAUUCUAUAACAUUGAGCUGUGAUGGGGAGCGAAGUUUAGUAGCGAAGUUAGUGACGUCACACUGCCAAGAAAAGCUUCUAGCGUUUAAACAUACUCUACCCGUACCGCAAACCGACACAGGUAGUCGAGGCGAGUAGCCUCAGGUGAGCGAGAGAACUCUCGUUAAGGAACUCGGCAAAAUGACCCCGUAACUUCGGGAGAAGGGGUGCUGACUUUAAGUCAGCCGCAGUGAAUAGGCCCAAGCAACUGUUUAUCAAAAACACAGCUCUCUGCUAAAUCGUAAGAUGAUGUAUAGGGGGUGACGCCUGCCCGGUGCUGGAAGGUUAAGAGGAGUGCUUAGCGUAAGCGAAGGUAUGAAUUGAAGCCCCAGUAAACGGCGGCCGUAACUAUAACGGUCCUAAGGUAGCGAAAUUCCUUGUCGGGUAAGUUCCGACCCGCACGAAAGGCGUAAUGAUUUGGGCACUGUCUCAACGAGAGACUCGGUGAAAUUUUAGUACCUGUGAAGAUGCAGGUUACCCGCGACAGGACGGAAAGACCCCAUGGAGCUUUACUGCAGUUUGAUAUUGAGUGUCUGUACCACAUGUACAGGAUAGGUAGGAGUCUAAGAGAUCGGGACGCCAGUUUCGAAGGAGACGCUGUUGGGAUACUACCCUUGUGUUAUGGCCACUCUAACCCAGAUAGGUGAUCCCUAUCGGAGACAGUGUCUGACGGGCAGUUUGACUGGGGCGGUCGCCUCCUAAAAGGUAACGGAGGCGCCCAAAGGUUCCCUCAGAAUGGUUGGAAAUCAUUCGCAGAGUGUAAAGGUAUAAGGGAGCUUGACUGCGAGAGCUACAACUCGAGCAGGGACGAAAGUCGGGCUUAGUGAUCCGGUGGUUCCGUAUGGAAGGGCCAUCGCUCAACGGAUAAAAGCUACCCUGGGGAUAACAGGCUUAUCUCCCCCAAGAGUUCACAUCGACGGGGAGGUUUGGCACCUCGAUGUCGGCUCGUCGCAUCCUGGGGCUGUAGUCGGUCCCAAGGGUUGGGCUGUUCGCCCAUUAAAGCGGCACGCGAGCUGGGUUCAGAACGUCGUGAGACAGUUCGGUCCCUAUCCGUCGCGGGCGUAGGAAAUUUGAGAGGAUCUGCUCCUAGUACGAGAGGACCAGAGUGGACUUACCGCUGGUGUACCAGUUGUCUUGCCAAAGGCAUCGCUGGGUAGCUAUGUAGGGAAGGGAUAAACGCUGAAAGCAUCUAAGUGUGAAACCCACCUCAAGAUGAGAUUUCCCAUGAUUAUAUAUCAGUAAGAGCCCUGAGAGAUGAUCAGGUAGAUAGGUUAGAAGUGGAAGUGUGGCGACACAUGUAGCGGACUAAUACUAAUAGCUCGAGGACUUAUCCAA
rnacentral:rRNA from 1 species